CAGAAGCCUUAAACAAAACGUUCUCGGAUCGAAUUUCCAAAAUUGAGGCAAUCCAAUGGCAUUUGGAUAGGAAACAACUAUCUUCAACACCAUUGUUUCCCACAUAUCAACAGCAAGAUGUACUGCAAGCAAAAGGUUUAGACAAAGAAAAACAAGCUGCUUCAACAGGUCCUUCAGAUCCAAAAA